CCAGACUCCUACGGGAGGCAGCAGUGGGGAAUAUUGCACAAUGGGCGCAAGCCUGAUGCAGCGACGCCGCGUGAGGGAUGGAGGCCUUCGGGUUGUAAACCUCUUUUAUCGGGGAGCAAGCGAGAGUGAGUUUACCCGUUGAAUAAGCACCGGCUAACUACGUGCCAGCAGCCGCGGUAAUACGUAGGGUGCAAGCGUUAUCCGGAAUUAUUGGGCGUAAAGGGCUCGUAGGCGGUUCGUCGCGUCCGGUGUGAAAGUCCAUCGCUUAACGGUGGAUCCGCGCCGGGUACGGGCGGGCUUGAGUGCGGUAGGGGAGACUGGAAUUCCCGGUGUAACGGUGGAAUGUGUAGAUAUCGGGAAGAACACCAAUGGCGAAGGCAGGUCUCUGGGCCGUUACUGACGCUGAGGAGCGAAAGCGUGGGGAGCGAACAGGAUUAGAUACCCUGGUAGUCCACGCCGUAAACGGUGGAUGCUGGAUGUGGGGCCCGUUCCACGGGUUCCGUGUCGGAGCUAACGCGUUAAGCAUCCCGCCUGGGGAGUACGGCCGCAAGGCUAAAACUCAAAGAAAUUGACGGGGGCCCGCACAAGCGGCGGAGCAUGCGGAUUAAUUCGAUGCAACGCGAAGAACCUUACCUGGGCUUGACAUGUUCCCGACGGUCGUAGAGAUACGGCUUCCCUUCGGGGCGGGUUCACAGGUGGUGCAUGGUCGUCGUCAGCUCGUGUCGUGAGAUGUUGGGUUAAGUCCCGCAACGAGCGCAACCCUCGCCCCGUGUUGCCAGCGGAUUAUGCCGGGAACUCACGGGGGACCGCCGGGGUUAACUCGGAGGAAGGUGGGGAUGACGUCAGAUCAUCAUGCCCCUUACGUCCAGGGCUUCACGCAUGCUACAAUGGCCGGUACAACGGGAUGCGACCUCGUGAGGGGGAGCGGAUCCCUUAAAACCGGUCUCAGUUCGGAUUGGAGUCUGCAACCCGACUCCAUGAAGGCGGAGUCGCUAGUAAUCGCGGAUCAGCAACGCCGCGGUGAAUGCGUUCCCGGGCCUUGUACACACCGCCCGUCAAGUCAUGAAAGUGGGUAGCACCCGAAGCCGGUGGCCCAACCUUUUGGGGGGAGCCGUCUAAGGUGAGACUCGUGAUUGGGACUAAGUCGUAACAAGGUAGCCGUACCGGAAGGUGCGGCUG
rnacentral:rRNA from 1 species